rnacentral:tRNA from 1 species
GGGGACGUGGUUUAGUGGUAUAACGCUCGCUUAGCAUGCGAGAGGUCCGGGGUUCGAUUCCCCGCGUCUCCA